GAUGAACGCUGGCGGCGUGCUUAACACAUGCAAGUCGAACGGUGAACGAGGGAGCUUGCUCCCUCCGGAUCAGUGGCGAACGGGUGAGUAACACGUGAGCAAUCUGCCCUGGACUCUGGGAUAAGCGUUGGAAACGACGUCUAAUACCGGAUACGAGACGCGAAGGCAUCUUCAGCGUCUGGAAAGAACUUCGGUCCAGGAUGAGCUCGCGGCCUAUCAGGUAGUUGGUGAGGUAACGGCUCACCAAGCCUACGACGGGUAGCCGGCCUGAGAGGGUGACCGGCCACACUGGGACUGAGACACGGCCCAGACUCCUACGGGAGGCAGCAGUGGGGAAUAUUGCACAAUGGGCGAAAGCCUGAUUCAGCAACGCCGCGUGAGGGAUGACGGCCUUCGGGUUGUAAACCUCUUUUAGCAAGGAAGAAGCGAAAGUGACGGUACUUGCAGAAAAAGCGCCGGCUAACUACGUGCCAGCAGCCGCCGUAAGAC
rnacentral:rRNA from 1 species